UACGUAGGGGGCAAGCGUUGUCCGGAUUUAUUGGGCGUAAAGAGCGUGUAGGCGGCCAUACAGGUCAGCUGUGAAAACUCGAGGCUCAACCUCGAGACGUCGGUUGAAACCGUAUGGCUAGAGUCCGGAAGAGGAGAGUGGAAUUCCCGGUGUAGCGGUGAAAUGCGUAGAUAUCAGGAGGAACACCGGUGGUGUAGACGGCUUUCUGGACCGUAACUGACGCUGAGACACGAAAGCGUGGGUAGCAAACAGG
rnacentral:rRNA from 1 species